AACGUAGGAGACAAACGUUAUCCGGAGUUACUGGGCGUAAAGGGCGUGUAGGUGGUUUCGUAAGUCUGGCGUGAAAUUUUUCGGCUUAACCGGGAAAGGUCGUCGGAUACUGCAGAACUAGAGGACGGUAGAGGCGUGUGGAAUUCCUGGUGUAGCGGUGAAAUGCGCAGAUAUCAGGAGGAACACCGGUGGCGAAGGCGGGUCUCUGGGCCGAUACUGACGCUGAGGAGCGAAAGCGUGGGUAGCAAACAGG
rnacentral:rRNA from 1 species